AUGAGUUUGAAUAAAACUUGGACAACAGUCCCUGGCCAGAGCUACGGCCGGAAGGUGGCGGCGGCCGCGGAGUUAACGCUGCUGGAAAAAUCCCUGGGGCUGAGCAAAGGGAAUAAAUAUAGUGCUCAGGGUGAGUGACAGAUUCCAGUUCUUCAAACAAACAAUGGUCCAAGUCUAACAGGCUUGACGACGAUAGCAGCUCAUCUAGUCAAGCAGGCCAACAAAGAACACUUGCUGGGGGGCGGCGCCUAAGAAAAGGCAAUCGUCCAGCAGUGGUUAGAGUACAGGGUCACGCAAGUAGACGGACACUCCAGUAAAGAUGAUAUCCGCACUCUGUUGAAGGAACUUAAUUCCUAUCUUGAAGAUAAAGUCUACCUUACAGGAUAUAACUUCACCUUAGCAGAUAUCCUAUUGUACUAUGGACUUCAUCGCUUUAUAGUUGACCUGACAGUUCAAGAAAAGGAGAAAUAUCUUAAUGUAUCUCGCUGGUUUUGUCACAUUCAGCAUUACCCAGGCAUCAGGCAACAUCUGUCUAAUGUUGUCUUCGUCAAGAACAGACUAUAUACUAAUUCCCACUAGAAGCUACCUAUGCUGUACAGAAGAACAAUUAAUGCUUUAAAUGGAAAAUGUAUUCUGGACCACAGGACUAACAUAAAUUGAUACACAGUCAUUCUCUGUUGAAGUUGAGAGAAUUCAGAAAGUAUAAACUUGUGUCUGAGUGUUUUAUUCUUUAGUUGAAGUUUUAUAAUUUUUAAUGUAAAAAUUAAACUACUAUUAUAAAAAAACAAGUUGAGAUCAAGUUGUAAAUUAAUCUUGUUUUUAUAGGUGAAACUUAUUUUAAUAAACAUUGUAAAUC